ensembl:lncRNA SDHAP4 SDHA pseudogene 4
AGUCUGCGCAGGGACUGGCGGGACUGCGCGGAGGCGACUGCAGACGUAUCGGGGGUCCGGAGCCUGUCGCGGCUGCUAAGCGCUCGGCGCCUGGCGCUGGCGCUGGCCAAGGCUUGGCCAACAGUGUUGCAAACAGGAACCCGAGGUGUUCACUUCACUGUUGAAGGAACGAGAGGGCAUCUGCUAAAGUUUCAGAUUCCAUUUCUGCUCAGUAUCCAGUAGUGGAUCAUGAAUUUGAUGCAGUGGUGGUAGGCGCUGGAGGGGCAGGCUUUGCGAGCUGCAUUUGGCCUUUCCGAGGCAGAGUUUGAUACAGCAUGUGUUACCAAGCUGUUUCCUACCAGGUCACACACUGUUGCAGCGCAGCUAGAAAAUUAUGGCAUGCCGUUUAGCAGAACUGAAGAUGGGAAGAUUUAUCAGCGUGCAUUUGGUGGACAGAGCCUCAAGUUUGGAAAGGGCAGGCAGGCCCAUCGGUGCUGCUGUGUGGCUGAUCGGACCGGCCACUCAAUAUUGCACACCUCAUAUGGGAGGUCUCUGAGAUAUGAUACCAGCUGUUUUGUGGAGUAUUUUGCCUUGGAUCUCCUGAUAGAGAACAGGGAGUGCCGUGGUGUCAUUGCACUGUGCAUAGAGGACGGGUCCAUCCAUCACAUAAGAGCAAAGAACACUGUUGUUGCCACAGGAGUCAAGAAACUUUUCUUUUGAGCUAUUGACAGCUUUUAACAAGUUAUUAUACUCCUAUGAACAAAAUUUGGAGCAUAUUUGUUUCUCUCUGCCUGAUUUCUCCUGAAUUUGGAAACUAUUUUGCCAUGGUCUCCAUGAACUGAUUUUUUUGUGCAGUGGGCAGGAAGAACCCAUCGGGCAGCUACACAUCUUGAAAGAGAAGCUCUUCCUGUGAGGUACAUCAACUGUGGUUAAGAAUCUUACAUACUUAUCAUUUUUUGUUGUUGUGAGAACAUUUAAAAUCUACCCUUUUCUUUCUUUUUUUUUUUUUUUUUUUUGAAAUGGCGUCUCACUCUGUUGCCCAGGCUGGAGUGCAAUGGCAUGAUCUUGGCUCACCACAACCUGCUGGGUUCAAGUGAUUCUGUUGCCUCAGCCUCCUGAGUAGCUGGGAUUACAGGCAUGCACCACUCUUUUAGCAAUUUUAUUUAUUUAUUUUGUUAUUUUGAAAAAGUAUUUUUAACUUUUACUUUAGAUUAAUGGGGUAUAUGUGCAGGCUUGCUAUAUGGGUAUAUUGUGUGAUGCUGAGGUUUGGGGUAUGAAUGAUCCUGUCAGCCAGAUCGUGAGCAUCGUACACAAGCAAUUUUAAAAUAUACAAAUGGUGUGGUAUGGUGGUACAUGCCUGUAGUCCCAGCUACUCAAGAGGAUGGGGCCAGAGGAUCGCUUGAGCCUAGGUGUUUGACACCAGCCUAGACAACAUUGUGAGACUCUGUCUCAAAAAUAAUAAAUAACAAAACAAAAUAAAAUAUACAAUGCAUUAUUAUUUAA